AUUGAACGCUGGCGGCAGGCCUAACACAUGCAAGUCGAACGAGUGGCGGACGGGUGAGUAAUGUCUGGGAAACUGCCUGAUGGAGGGGGAUAACUACUGGAAACGGUAGCUAAUACCGAAUAACCUCGACUGGGCCCCGAUGGGAUGAGCUAGUAGGUGGGGGAAAGGCUCAACUAGGCGACGAUCCCUAGCUGGUCUGAGAGGAUGACCAGCCACACUGGAACUGAGACACGGUCCAGACUCCUACGGGAGGCAGCAGUGGGGAAUAUGGCACAAUGGGCGCAAGCCUGAUUCAGCCAUGCCGCGUGUAUGAAGAAGGCCUUCGGGUUGUAAAGUACUUUCAGCGUGGAGGCGUUACCCGCAGAAGAAGCACCGGCUAACUCCGUGCCAGCAGCCGCGGUAAUAC
rnacentral:rRNA from 1 species